AUUGAACGCUGGCGGCAGGCCUAACACAUGCAAGUCGAACGAGUGGCGGACGGGUGAGUAAUGUAUGGGAAACUGCCCGAUGGAGGGGGAUAAGUAGUGGAAACGGUAGAUAAUACCGCAUAAGAUCGGCUGGGCCCACAUGGGAUUAGCAAGUAGGGGGGGUAACGGCGCACCUAGGCGACGGUGCCUCGCUGGCCUGAGAGGAUGACCGGCCACACUGGAACUGAGACACGGUCCAGACUCCUACGGGAGGCAGCAGUGGGGAAUCUUGGACAAUGGGCGCAAGCCUUACGCAGCCAGGCCGCGUGAAUGAAGAAGGCUUUCGGGUUGUAAAGUACUGUCAUCGAGGAAGCGUUACUCGCAGAGGAAGCACCGGCUAACUCCGUGCCAGCAGCCGCGGUAAUAC
rnacentral:rRNA from 1 species